AUAGCUUUUCUGCUUCCUUGAGGUAAGAUUAAAGGGUAGUGUUUGUUCUGAUCAGAGUAAUUGCUUAUCUGUCCUGGAUGUGAAAAAUGUGUAUUAACUUGAUUUUUAAAACAAGAGAACUGGAGCAGGAGCUUGCUUUGUUUUCUCCAUGCAUCCACCUCGUAUUGCAAUGUUUCCAGGAAUGGUGUAUUUUUU